AUUGAACGCUGGCGGCAGGCUUAACACAUGCAAGUCGAGCGGAGAUGAGGUGCUUGCACCUUAUCUUAGCGGCGGACGGGUGAGUAAUGCUUAGGAAUCUGCCUAUUAGUGGGGGACAACAUUCCGAAAGGAAUGCUAAUACCGCAUACGUCCUACGGGAGAAAGCAGGGGAUCUUCGGACCUUGCGCUAAUAGAUGAGCCUAAGUCGGAUUAGCUAGUUGGUGGGGUAAAGGCCUACCAAGGCGACGAUCUGUAGCGGGUCUGAGAGGAUGAUCCGCCAGACUGGGACUGGAACACGGCCCAGAGUCCUACGGGAGGCAGCAGUGGGGAAUAUUGGACAAUGGGGGGAACCCUGAUCCAGCCAUGCCGCGUGUGUGAAGAAGGCCUUAUGGUUGUAAAGCACUUUAAGCGAGGAGGAGGCUACUGAGACUAAUACUCUUGGAUAGUGGACGUUACUCGCAGAAUAAGCACCGGCUAACUCUGUGCCAGCCGCCGCGGUAAAAC
rnacentral:rRNA from 1 species